GGCGGCGUGGAUUAGGCAUGCAAGUCGAACGGUAUGGACCUUUCGGGGUUCAGGAGAGUGGCGAACGGGUGAGUAACACGUAGGUAAUCUACCCUCAAGACGGGGACAACCCAGGGAAACUUGGGCUAAUACCGGAUGUGUGUAGUGGCUAUUUUCUGAUUAUCAUUAUUUACGUAAGUGAGUAAUAAUAAGAAGGGAAAGUGGUUAUUACAUAAAAGGUGGCGUAAGCUGCCGCUUGGGGAUGAGCCUGCGUCCUAUUAGUUAGUUGGUGAGGUAACGGCUUACCAAGGCGAUGAUAGGUAGGCGGCCUUAACGGGUGGUCGCCCACACUGGGAUUGAGAUACGGCCCAGACUCCUACGGGAGGCAGCAGUCGAGAAUAGUCUACAAUGGACGGAAGUCUGAUAGUGCGACGCCGCGUGAACGAAGAAUCCCUUCGGGGUGUAAAGUUCUUUUAUACGUGAGCAGUGUCCUUUAUAUUAAUAGUAUAAGGGGAGAGAUAUUAGCGUAUGAAUAAGCAACGGCUAACUCCGUG
rnacentral:rRNA from 1 species